rnacentral:rRNA from 1 species
UUCCGGUUGAUCCCGCCGGACCCCACUGCUAUCGAGGUGAGACUUAGCCAGGCCAGUCGAACGACUCGGACUAUGGCGAGAAGUGGCAAACUGCUCAGUAACACGUAGCUAACCUACCCUCAGGACGGAGACAACCCCGGGAAACUGGGGUUAAUCUCCGAUGGGCGUGGAUUCCUGGAAUGGUGUCACGCCGAAACGUUAACACACCAUGUUUGUGUACACGCCUGAGGAUGGGGCUGCGGCCGAUCAGGCAGUUGGUGAGGUAACGGCUCACCAAACCUUUGACCGGUACGGGCCGUGAGAGCGGUAGCCCGGAGAUGGACACUGAGACAAGGGUCCAGGACCUACGGGUCGCAGCCGGUACGAAACCUCCACAAUGCACGCAAGUGCGAUGGGGUUACCUCGAGUGCCGCCUGAAGAAGGCGGCUUUUCCAUUGUGUAAUGAGCCGUGGGAAUAAGGGGGGGGCAAGACUGGUGUCAGCCGCCGCGGUAACACCAGCCCCCCGAGUGGUGGGGAUGUUUAUUUGGCCUAAAACGUCCGUAGCCAGCUAGGUAAAUCUCUCGUUAAAUCCAGCGUCCUAAGCGUUGGGCUGCGAGAGAGACUGCCAAGCUAGAGGGUGGGAGAGGUCAGCGGUAUUUCUGGGGUAGGGGCGAAAUCCAUUGAUCCCAGGAGGACCACCAGUGGCGAAGGCUGCUGACUAGAACACGCCUGACGGUGAGGGACGAAAGCUGGGGUAGCGAAUCGGAUUAGAUACCCGAGUAGUCCCAGCCGUAAACGAUGCAGGCUAGGUGUUGGGUUGGCCACGUGCCGACUCAGUGCCACAGGGAAAGCCAUUAAGCCUGCUGCCUGGGGAGUACGGUCGCAAGGCUGAAACUUAAAGGAAUUGGCGGGAGAGCACCACCAGGCGUGAAGCCUGCGGUUUAAUUGGAGUCAACGCCGGA